rnacentral:rRNA from 1 species
AUGCAUGAAGCUAGGGGGUUAUUCUGCAAAACUACAGUCUCAGGAAAAUUGCUAAAAUCGCAACAGAGGAAAAAAAACAUGCAUCGGGCCGAAUCUGGUGCAAACGGGCCAACAGGAGCAGGCGCUGGGGCAUCUCACCCAUGGGCUGAGGCCCAGUCAAAGCAGUGGUGGGGGAGGCUGGAUCUGGAUCGAACGGGCACGCUGGGCCUCGCGCGAUGGGGAAGCAGCUGGGCCUGGGUGCGGUCGGCGUUCGUCUCUGGAUCGAUGCCGAAGCAGAGGAGGUCGAGCGGUCAACGGGUACGGCGGGGCCCUCGUCUCCUCGUUCGAUGCCGGGUGAAGCAGAGGGCGGAACGACAUCCUGCUUGCUCGUUCGCUCGAACCGAACGAGGCAGAGGUGUGGCCCUCGCCGGGAAGAAGCAGGACGGCGGGGACCCGAGGUGGAGCAGCCGGCGUGAUGCGGAUCCAUGUGCAGAAGAGGGAACGAGGCGCUCGACUGCUGCUGCUGCUUGCGACACGGCGUCCACGGCUGCUCCUGCAGCAAGAAGAGCACGAGGGAGAGAUGCCGUGAGAGAGAGCUACAGAAGGAGAAAAAGGGAACGAGAGGGAAAGGCGAAGGCACGCCUGAUUCGGUGCUCCGGCGAGAAAGGGGGGGUCGCAGAGGAGGCUGUUCCUGCGCGGAUCCGAAGGGUGGCGAUGAGGACGAACGGCAGCCAUGGCAGCUCGGUUCCCUGUGAAGAAGAAGAGAACAAGGGGAGAGCUACACAUAAGAGAGAGAGAAAGAAGGAAGGGAAAAGAGCAGGGGAGGAAGGGCGCAGGGCACGGCCUGAUUCGGUGGUGGCGGUUGAGGUCGCUAGCGGCGGCGAUGGGCAGUUGGCUCGGGCAUUGGUUGGCCUUCGGGAGCGGGGAGAAGGAGACAGGGAGCAGGGGCUCUGGUUGGUGUGGUGGUGA